AUGUCGCCUCCUUGUCUCUGCGACGACGGCUUCUCCUCUUCUUUUCACCGGCCCAUCUACCUCAUCGAUUCACAAUGGAUUCCACCUUCCUCAUCAUCGCCAACCCGUCUCGCCCGCAACAAGCUCUUUUCAACGAUUCAAUCCACUUUCACUGAUUCAAUUCUCUUUCCAACAUCUCUUCCAAUCUCCGAUCGAACCUGGCUACAGGAGCGUUUGAAGAUGGCUCGGAAUUGGAGUCAAGGAAGUUUGAGAAGACGACAUGAGGCGCUAGCCAAAGCCAAUCAGUCUGCAUUCUGUGCUAAAUGA